rnacentral:rRNA from 1 species
GAUGAACGCUGGCGGCGUGCCUAAUACAUGCAAGUCGAGCGAACAGACGAGGAGCUUGCUCCUUUGACGUUAGCGGCGGACGGGUGAGUAACACGUAGGUAACCUACCUAUAAGACUGGGAUAACUUCGGGAAACCGGAGCUAAUACCGGAUAAUAUUUCGAACCGCAUGGUUCGAUAGUGAAAGAUGGCUUUGCUAUCACUUAUAGAUGGACCUGCGCCGUAUUAGCUAGUUGGUAAGGUAACGGCUUACCAAGGCAACGAUACGUAGCUGACCUGAGAGGGUGAUCGGCCACACUGGAACUGAGACACGGUCCAGACUCCUACGGGAGGCAGCAGUAGGGAAUCUUCCGCAAUGGGCGAAAGCCUGACGGAGCAACGCCGCGUGAGUGAUGAAGGUCUUCGGAUCGUAAAACUCUGUUAUUAGGGAAGAACAAACGUGUAAGUAACUGUGCACGUCUUGACGGUACCUAAUCAGAAAGCCACGGCUAACUACGUG